AUUCCUGUACCUUAGUAAACAGAACUGUGGGGACACGUGUGGAGAGCACAAGCCGGAAAUGGAAAAGCCGGUGCAAGCGAGGUAGGAGAUGAACAGGCAAAUCCGUUCAUCAAUCCGAAGACGUGAUGCGGACCGAAUUAAGAGUAGGGAAGUGUGUGAGCCAUGCGUCAAGAAAAGCCGCUAUUGUUUUACUUAAGCCCGUACCGUAAACCGACACAGGUGGAUGAGGAGAGAAUCCUAAGGCCGACGGGAGAAGCAUUGUUAAGGAACUCGGCAAAAUGACUCCGUAACUUCGGGAGAAGGAGUGCCAGCGAGAGCUGGCCGCAGAGAAUUGGCCCAAGCAACUGUUUAGCAAAAACACAGGACUAUGCAAAACCGUAAGGUGAAGUAUAUGGGCUGACGCCUGCCCGGUGCUGGAAGGUUAAGAGGAGAGGUUAGCGGCAACGCGAAGCUAUGAAUUUAAGCCCCAGUAAACGGCGGCCGUAACUAUAACGGUCCUAAGGUAGCGAAAUUCCUUGUCGGGUAAGUUCCGACCCGCACGAAAGGCGUAAUGAUUUGGGCACUGUCUCAACAAUGCACCCGGUGAAAUUGAAAUACCAGUGAAGAUGCUGGUUACCUGCGCCAGGACGGAAAGACCCCAUGGAGCUUUACUCCAGCUUGAUACUGGGAUUCGGUAUUGCAUGUACAGGAUAGGUGGGAGGCUAGGAAGUGAUAACGCCAGUUGUCACGGAGCCGCUGUUGGGAUACCACCCUUGCAGUAUUGGAUUUCUAACCAGCGACCAUGAACUGGUCGGGGGACAAUGUCAGGUGGGGAGUUUGACUGGGGCGGUCGCCUCCGAAAGGGUAUCGGAGGCGCUCAAAGGUUCCCUCAGAAUGGACGGAAACCAUUCGAAGAGUGCAAAGGCAGAAGGGAGCUUGACUGCGACACCGACGGGUGGAGCAGGUACGAAAGUAGGACUUAGUGACCCGGUGGUAUAAAGUGGGAUUGCCAUCGCUCAACGGAUAAAAGCUACCCUGGGAUAACAGGCUUAUCACUCCCAAGAGUUCACAUCGACGGAGUGGUUUGGCACCUCGAUGUCGGCUCAUCGCAUCCUGGGGCUGAAGUAGGUCCCAAGGGUUGGGCUGUUCGCCCAUUAAAGCGGUACGCGAGCUGGGUUCAGAACGUCGUGAGACAGUUCGGUCCCUAUCCGGCGUGGGCGUAGGAUAUUUGAGAGGAGCUGUCCUUAGUACGAGAGGACCGGGAUGGACUGGCCGCUGGUGUAUCUGUUGCAUACCAAAUGCAUGGCAGAGUAGCCAAGCCGGGACGGGAUAAACGCUGAAGGCAUCUAAGCGUGAAGCCCCCCUCAAGAUGAGAUAUCCCUACGUAAGUAGUAAGACCCCUUGAAGACGACGAGGUAGAUAGGUCAGAGGUGGAAGUACAGUAAUGUAUGGAGCUGACUGAUACUAAUCGGUCGAGGGCAUGACCA
rnacentral:rRNA from 1 species